rnacentral:rRNA from 1 species
AUUGAACGCUAGCGGGAUGCCUUACACAUGCAAGUCGAACGGAGUGGCGAACGGGUGAGUAAUGUAUCGGAACGUGCCCAGCAGCGGGGGAUAACUACGCGAAGGGGUAGCUAAUACCGUAUCCUAUUUGCGCGGCCGAGCUGGUAUUAGCUAGUGGGUGGGGUAACGGCUCACCACGGCGACGAACCGUAGCUGGUUUGAGAGGCCGACCAGCCACACUGGAACUGAGACACGGCCCAGACUCCUACGGGAGGCAGCAGUGGGGAAUUUUGGACAAUGGGCGAAACCCUGAUCCAGCCAUCCCGCGUGUGUGAUGAAGGCCUUCGGGUUGUAAAGCACUGUUAGCAGGAAAGCGGUACCUGCAGAAUAAGCCACGGCUAACUACGUGCCAGCAGCCGCGGUAAUUC